rnacentral:snRNA from 1 species
AGGACAAAGUGGUCACAC